rnacentral:rRNA from 1 species
AUCGCCUCCCGCCCCCACCUAAUAUGGGAGGUCCCGCCUGCCCUGUGAUUUUAAUUUAACGGCCGCGGUAUUUUGACCGUGCAAAGGUAGCGCAAUCACUUGUCUCUUAAAUGGAGACCUGUAUGAAUGGCAUAACGAGGGCUUAACUGUCUCCCCCUCCUAGUCAAUGAAAUUGAUUUCCCCGUGCAGAAGCGGGGAUAAACCCAUAAGACGAGAAGACCCUGUGGAGCUUUAGACUGUAAAUAGCACCUGUAAAGAUUAGCUUACAACAUAAAACAAAAGGUACCUCUAUUUUUCAUGUCUUCGGUUGGGGCGACCGCGGGGCAUACAAAACCCCCACGUGGAACAGGAACUCCAUCCUUAAACUAAGAGCAACACCUCUAAGGAACAGAAUCUCUGACCAAAGUGAUCCGGCGGUAACCCCGCCGAUCAACGGAACUAGUUACCCCAGGGAUAACAGCGCAAUCCUCUCCCAGAGCCCAUAUCGACGAGGGGGUUUACGACCUCGAUGUUGGAUCAGGACAUCCUAAUGGUGCAGUCGCUAUUAAGGGUUCGUUUGUUCAACGAUUAAAGUCCUACGUAGU